CCACUCUUUUUUUUUUUUUUUUUCUCUCUCUCCCAUACUUCCUUCACCCUUUCUUUUUUUAUUUGUUUUUUUCUCUCAACAUUUUUUUUUUUAUUUUUGUCUAUAUCACGUGUAAAAUUUUAUUAUAUGAACUAACCUUAUUUUUUAAUAGUCGAUAUAACAAAAUUAAAAUUUCAUACGGUAUAAAAAAAAUUGUACACCAAGUGUAUAAAACAUGCUUAUAUACAAUUUAUAAUUUGAUUUUUUUUUUAUUUUUACCUAUAUCAAGUAUAAAAUUUUAGCGCAUACACCAAUUCUAUUUUUUAAUAGUCUCCUCAAGGAAAGCGGUGGGACCCACUUUUUUUCUCUCUCAUACUCUCUCUCUCUCACACCCUAUACCCCCCCCUCCUCCUCUUUUUUUCUCUCAACACCUUUUCUUUUUUGUUUUUUCCUACACAAGUUUAAAAUUUUAUCAUAUAGAUCAACCUUAUUUUNCUUAUUUUUUAAUAGUCGAUAUAACAAAAUUAAAAUUUCAUACGGUAUAAAAAAAAUUGUACACCAAGUGUAUAAAACAUGCUUAUAUACAAUUUCUCAACACCUUUUCUUUUUUGUUUUUUCCUACACAAGUUUAAAAUUUUAUCAUAUAGAUCAACCUUAUUUUUUAAUAAUUGAUAGUGUACAGCAACCACUUCAAAUAAAGAGGUGGGGCUCACUCCACUUUUUUUUUCUCUCUCUCACUCUCCCUCACUCUCUCACACAUUGUACACCGAGUGUAUAAGACGUGCACAUGUAUUGCAUAUGAUAAAGUUUAGCUUUCUAUCUAUCUAUAUCCAUACACCCUACACACACCCUACACCCUACACCCUACACCCUACACCUCUAUAAUCCUAUUUUUUAAUAUUCAAUAUAACAAAAUUAAAAUUUCAUACGGUGUAAAAAAGUUGUACACCGAAUUUAUAAGAUAUGCUCAUAUACACGUCUUUGACAGUAUCAAAGAGAACUUAUAUACUUU
rnacentral:lncRNA from 1 species